UAGCAUAUCAAUAAGCGGAGGAAAAGAAACCAACAGGGAUUGCCCUAGUAACGGCGAGUGAAGCGGCAACAGCUCAAAUUUGAAAUCUGGCGCAAGCCCGAGUUGUAAUUUGUAGAGGAUGCUUCUGGCCAGCGGCCGUUCUAAGUUCCUUGGAACAGGACGUCAUAGAGGGUGAGAAUCCCGUAUGUGACCGGCGCGCAGCCUUUACGUAGCUCCUUCGACGAGUCGAGUUGUUUGGGAAUGCAGCUCUAAAUGGGAGGUAAAUUUCUUCUAAAGCUAAAUACCGGCCAGAGACCGAUAGCGCACAAGUAGAGUGAUCGAAAGAUGAAAAGCACUUUGGAAAGAGAGUUAAAAAGCACGUGAAAUUGUUGAAAGGGAAGCGCUUGCAACCAGACUUCGUAGCGAUGUUCCGCCGGUCUUCUGACCGGUCUACUCAUCGUCGCGAGGCCAACAUCGUCUGGGGCCGCUGGAUAAGACCUAAGGAAUGUAGCUUCCCUCGGGAAGUGUUAUAGCCUGUGGUGAUGCAGCGUGUCUCGGGCGAGGUCCGCGCUUCGGCAAGGAUGUUGGCGUAAUGGUUGUCAGCGGCCCGUCUUGAAACACGGACCAAGGAGUCUAACAUCUAUGCGAGUGUUCGGGUGUCAAACCCCUACGCGUAAUGAAAGUGAACGGAGGUGGGAAGCGCAAGCUGCACCAUCGACCGAUCCUGAUGUCCUCGGAUGGAUUUGAGUAAGAGCAUAGCUGUUGGGACCCGAAAGAUGGUGAACUAUGCCUGAAUAGGGUGAAGCCAGAGGAAACUCUGGUGGAGGCUCGCAGCGGUUCUGACGUGCAAAUCGAUCGUCAAAUUUGGGUAUAGGGGCGAAAGACUAA
rnacentral:rRNA from 1 species